rnacentral:rRNA from 1 species
AGAGUUUGAUCAUGGCUCAGAGCGAACGCUGGCGGCAGGCCUAACACAUGCAAGUCGAGCGCCCCGCAAGGGGAGCGGCAGACGGGAGAGUAACACGUGGGAACGUGCCCUUCAGUUCGGAACAACCCAGGGAAACUUGGGCUAAUACCGGAUACGUCCGUAAGGAGAAAGAUUUAUCGCUGAAGGAUCGGCCCGCGUCUGAUUAGCUAGUUGGUGGGGUAACGGCCCACCAAGGCGACGAUCAGUAGCUGGUCUGAGAGGAUGAUCAGCCUCACUGGGACUGAGACACGGCCCAGACUCCUACGGGAGGCAGCAGUGGGGAAUAUUGGACAAUGGGCGCAAGCCUGAUCCAGCCAUGCCGCGUGGAUGAUGAAGGCCCUAGGGUUGUAAAGUCCUUUCGGCGGGGAAGAUAAUGACGGUACCCGCAGAAGAAGCCCCGGCUAACUUCGUGCCAGCAGCCGCGGUAAUACGAAGGGGGCUAGCGUUGCUCGGAAUCACUGGGCGUAAAGCGCACGUAGGCGGCUUUUUAAGUCAGGGGUGAAAUCCUGGAGCUCAACUCCAGAACUGCCUUUGAUACUGAGAAGCUGGAGUCCGGGAGAGGUGAGUGGAACUGCGAGUGUAGAGGUGAAAUUCGUAGAUAUUCGCAAGAACACCAGUGGCGAAGGCGGCUCACUGGCCCGGUACUGACGCUGAGGUGCGAAAGCGUGGGGAGCAAACAGGAUUAGAUACCCCCGUAGUCC